rnacentral:lncRNA from 1 species
AUCUCUGGAAUCGAGACUAGAGAAAUUUGCUAUUUUUUUUGGAACAGGUCAUAUUUUCUGCAACUUCUAUUCUGGUCUGCUUUCUUCCUGUCAUCAUCUCCUUGGUCUCAAGAAAGGCUGCCUGACUUGUUUAUGUAAACCUGAUGACAGAAUUUGGACAAACAGGAAGGUAAAUAAGACUUUGUGUAAAACAUCAGCUGUUGAAAUGGAUGAAGACCUUAACAAUUCUUAAUUAUGGAAGAUGUAUUUGUCAUUGUUAUUGCUAAAAGCUGGUUACAGAAAAAUAGAAAACAUAAAGAAGAUUUACUUUAUUUUGGACAAAGGAAACUGUAAAGCAACCGCAAAGCAAUUGUUAACAAAAAGUCCUUUUAUGCCACCAUUGUAACUUUGUUCAAAAUUACAUUUUGUUUGAUACUUUGAAAAAAAAAAGGACAAAAUACCUUCAUGAAGGCUGCUACAAAUCAGAGUAGCUCAUUUGCAGUUGAUGAAGUUGCAGCAAUGGGAUUUGCUUCUGGACCUUUUGGCAAAAGGGAUUUGACAGGUUUCGUUCAUCAGGAAACUUUUCAAAUUCAGAACCAAGAAGAAGAGACAGCUGCAGAAGAGCAUGUGACUGAUCAAACAACCCCCUGGGUAGGACACAAGCCCAUCCAAGGCCCUGCUGUGGAUUAUUGCUGUGAAGAAUCUUUCCAGCCUCAAAAACCAGGUUGACUGCAGAGAACUCUGUGCUUUCACUGGAUAUUGCAGGACAGACACUUUGCACACCUCUGUUUUUCCAUGUGGACACCACCG